AGGUGAUCCUUGGACGCCCACAGUACAUCACCUUCAUGAGCGCAUCAGUGAACACCAGUCUAAGGAAGACAUCUCUGAACGUAAUUUUGGAGAUUUUGAUGAGUUCCAUUGAAACAAGGAGGAAUGUGAUGUCCAGUAUCAGUUCUGCAGACCCAAGGACAAAGAAAAUUCUGUGAUAAACUCAUCCAGUGUGACUGUAAUACCAGGCAGUGAUAGAAGAACUGGGGGAAGAGAUAAUUGUAUUUAUCUUGGUGAGGGUGACAAAUCAUGGCAAAUGAGCAAAAUGAAAAAGGAUACAAGACACCGGACUUUCAAAUCAACAAUUGUUUCAAAAGACUCCUACUGGAUUCCUGCUAGUGAUGGGAGAAAAUUAUCAUUCUGUGAGUUGUCAAUAAAUGUUUAACCACAGUUCACCUUUUUUGGAUUUUAAGAUGUCUGCGCCACUAGGACGCUCAGAAAAAUUACCCU
rnacentral:lncRNA from 1 species